GCGGUCCGACGUCCUCUGGUGACUGCUCGGGCCUGUUGCAGGGGGGGUUGGCGGACUACUCAGGCUACAACCUUCAUUGGGCCCUGGGCGGAGGUUGGCCCUCAAUGCACAACCGCAGAGUAUGUGUGUAGGUUCGAGUGUAGCACUACACGGGGCGAGCAUGGGCAUACUUGAGCGAGAGAAUGGGUAAUUGUGAAAGAAAGGUGAGGAUGGCUCUGGCUGUGCUGCGUGUGGUGCCUGGGCAGUAGUACUGCGGUCCCUGGGUCUUGGCUGUCUCUUCCUGGCUGGGGGUUGUGGGGGGCGGUGGGAUGGGUAGCAGAGCCAGUCAGGAACCUGGCUCUGCAGACCCUGGUGCUCUGCUUCCCAACUACAUUUCUCCACAUUCAUCCACUUAGGUCAGCCGUGGGCGUCCUGCGGAUGGAGGGACCGUGGCUACCAGGAAGUGUUUCCGUCCCUCCCAAGUGUGAUGCUCUGCAGUUUAAUUGCAUUAGUCAUACACACUCGUCCAGGAAUCUGGGGGCUCCUUCCGGGGGGGCCAGUGGACGGAACCUUCCCAUUGAUGGCUCUGUCUGCUGGACCCCUCGGAGAAUUGGCGAUCCACCAAAGUUCCUCAUACUUAGCCACAUACACAUACAUUUAGGGCCAGGGGUGGGCUCUUUCACUGGGGCCUGGGGCUGAGGCCAGUUGUGGCCUCGCCCAAUGGCCCUGGCUGGAGAGAUCACCACCCAGUUUUAACUGCAAAAAGACAUUUAGGGUGAAGGGGGGCACUGUCCGGGAGACACACCGUCAGCCAGCGGUCGUGGUCGCACUUUAGUUCCACACACUCACGUCCAAGCUGGGUUGCAGGGUUCUGGGGUGCCUUUUCCGCUGCUCUCUGCUUCCCCCGGGUAGGAGGGAAGGAGGAGCUGCGGUCCCUGCCUGGGGCCACAUGGGCGGCAGGCCGGAGGCCUACCCUCCCCACGAAUGUGCUGCAGGCCCGGUGUGAUGCCAGGGGAUGAGGUUGGGCCGAUGGGGUAGGCCCCGCUCCACUCGUGGAGAGGUGGUGGACUGGGGGUGGGCCCCACUCUGCGUGCGGUGGCAUCUCCUAGCGGGCUCCCUACAGACCGUGGGUCCUCGGGCUCCACUCUUUCAGGCCGACCCUCCCACCGGGGGGAGUGUUUGCCCCUGGUUCUCAUGGGGCGGACAGCGUUGACCCACGGUGACCCACUCUGACCUCGGGUGCUGUCUCUGUGGCUGCUGCAGCUCUGCCUGGGGGGCUCUGUGUGGGCGACUUGGGUCGCAACACCUGCCCUCCUGGAACUGAAGGUGUGUGGGCUUCCUGGCUGCUAGGAUUCUUUCCCCUGCUUGUUGGAUGGGAGUAGUGGCCGAGCUCCUCACAUCACCCUGGCUUCCACAAGUGGCAUUGUUCAUACAACAACAGCUGCCUCACCCUUUGGGUGAAUAAUGUUAAGCUACAGCUUUACUAACCUUGUAGUGGGACACUCAACACCUGAGCUGAUAAACAGGCUUUCCAAAUCCAACUGUAAGUAUUACUCAUACUUAUCACUACCAAUAUCAAUAAUGUGUGAAUAUGGAAAUUGUGUGGUUGUAUGUCACAACUUUUAUUAAGUAGUAUGGGAUAUGUAUAAGAAUGCAUAUGUGUAUGUAUAUGAUAUGUAUAUGUUUGUAUGAGUAUGUGCACAUACCUUAACACUAUUAUUGGUAUUAGUAUUAAUCUUCAAGGUAAACCACAGUACAACAGUUGUUUAGUUAUGAAUGUGUUAGCCUAAGGUACAUGCCUGCUUAUUUAUUUUGCACCGAUUGUUUACUUAACAGAUUUGCUUGGUCUCAGCAGCUGGUUGCAUAUUUCAAAUGUUCAUUUUUUAAUUUAAAACAGCUCCUGAAGCAGGCAGACUGACGCACUCAACUUUUUAGUUGACUGUUUAGAGAGACUUUUGUCUGUCUGUCUGUUUGUCUGUCUGUCCUAGCACAGUGUAGUAGAAUUGUAGUAGAACAGUAGAACUGUCAUUAUCAGAUCCAUGUCCUGUUCUCAGAACGGUGCCUAUACUUGGUAUUUGACCCUAACACUACAGGUCAGAUACUAAAGCUCCAUCUGUCAGGUUGCGGCAGAGAGGACCCAAAUGCACAGUGCUGAGGCAGCAGACAGAUGGUACGAUAAAAAGGGCUUUAAUACAGGAAUUGUAGUCACAGACAGUCCAGGUCAUUCACGUGUAAGCACAAUGAUUGAGGCACAGAGGGAGCAGGCGUGAUCAGGUCUGGUAACAAGCAUGGAUCAAUAACCGAGGGCUCAGAUUAACGUACUGGAAUCGGCAGGCUUAGUCAGGUCCAAUAAAUAAGCAGGGUUCAGCAACAGAAUCAACAGAGUACGGUACCGGUCAGGAUCAGACGAGAAUCAAUGGUCGGGAACACGAAACAGGGUCGAAGACGCGAUGAGCUGAACAAAUGAUUGCUUGAAAGUGACAACAUGCGUACGACGAUCCGACAGAUACCUGUGGUAACAGGUGGUGAUUAAAUGUCCUGGUAAGUAAUGGCAAAUGCAACACAGGUGCGUGUACUGAAAACCGGAAGUAAAGUUAGCGUGAACAGGAUGGGACUAGAAACUGGAACUACAGCGAUAAAACAGGAAACCAAACAUGACGAGUGAAAACAGAGUCCUUCAGCAUAAAACGGGAAAUGAAAACCAAAACCUGACACCACCUUUUGGUUUUACCCUCGAAUUGCGUCUUUGGUGCGAAAGAUGGGUGUGGCCUCAUUAACAUUUUUAACACCUUCCCCAGGCAGACAAAGGAGCGGGGCUGCUGACAGUCGGCUCAUGGAGUGUGAUGAGUGUGUGAUCAGCGCCGGAAAGGGCACUGAUAGUCGACUGAAAUCAGCGAAAAUGAACUGCUCCAUCUGUAAUAUAUGUGUGACUGGCUGAUCUAUCUUUAAUAUCACAAUAACCUUCCAUCCUGUCAGUGACAUAUUUGCAUUUUCAUAGCUUUUGUUACAUUAAAAAGAUGAAUUAAAACUUGUUUGAGUAAUAUUGUUAGAAAUUAUAAAGAAUUAAUAUAAAUAAAUCAAAUAAAUAAAUAAAGAGCUUUGUGAGAUUCUGCACUGUAUAUGUAAGACAUUAACAGAGUAAGUCAGUGACGAUUCUCAGUUAUCCAGGUGAUGUUACCUGGAAGCUGAGUCAUGGUAUCUGGACAAAACGACUGGGACUCCUUCUCCCACUAUUACAAGGUCCAAUGUCCUGAGUAAGGCAACUUAAAUAUUACCAAACAAUCUCUAUCUUUCAGAUGUUGAAGAGUAAACUCAAAAUACGUCCUUUGAAAAGAAGUAACAAAAAAAGGUGGAGAAGAAAACUCUCAGCAGGAAGGGACAUCUUGCUGCAAAGCAUCCUAAGCACAAGAAUAGUGAAGAAUAAUGUUAACUUGAUUCCAGCCAGUGCAUUUGUCAGGGCUCGCUGUGAGCGGACAGGAAUAAGGGAUCGAAACGCACAGCUCAGGAGACUGGACUAAGCAGAAACCAGGUUUAUUUAACAUGAUCCAAAACGGCAAGCCGAAACGGGAGUCGGGCAGGCAAUUGUCAAAAACCAGUGAUCACAAUAUCUAGCAGAGGUACAGGCAGGGACAAGGCAAAACACAGUCAGAACAGGCACAAGUCAAAAACCAGAGACUUAUUUGGACAUGGAUAGAAGGCUGACAAAUUGGGUGCACAACAAAAACGGAACAGGUGAGUGCUGGAGCUUAAAUGUUGAAAACUAAUUACUGAAUGGAAACAGCCGACAGGGCACGUGAUCAGAAACGUAAAGCAGGCAAAAGACAUGACAGAACAGAAACUGGAAACACUACCAAAAUAUAGCCUGGUAGGUCAGUUGGUAGAGUGCUGGUCUCAGGAAGCAAAGGUUUUUGCGGUUUGAUCCUCCCACAUUGGCUUAAACGCAGGGCCAGUUGUGGUAGGUUGUUGCCAAAGCAAUUGAUUAUGUGCUGCUUGUCACUCUGAUAAAACCAGGGACUUUUUUAAAAUAACUUAUAUGUCAGUUUAUUUUCCACAGUAAAACAUACAAUAAUUUUAUAGAUAAAGUCAGUACUCAAGUGUGGCCCAUUACCCCACAUAUUGUAGCCACUAGAAAAGUGGUUAUGUGUUCCACAUGUGUUCCAGCCAUGUGCACUUUUACCAAUAUAUAUAACUUCAUACGAAUAGUGUGAUUCAUUAUAGAAGAUUGACUCUUUCCUCCUCUGUAGUAAAAUGCUCUAUAUGUCUGCUUAGGAAGACGUUGGUAGUAAGGCAGUCAGUAAAGAAGCAUUCUGAAGAUCUUAAAUUCCUAUAUCAUGAUAAAAUUGUAUUUAGGUGGUGGUAUUUAUUUCCGAGAACUAUUUCUGAGGUUGUAGAAUAAGUAGAUUGUUUUUGGCAAUUUACUAUAUACUAUGUGUAUAUAUAUGAAUGAAUAGACUUUUCACCAGCAGUUUCGUGCCCUCCUCCCAAUCACCCACAAACUGGUGGGUCUAGGACUAACUGGCGGGUAUGUGGUCAGUUACUGCAGCGGUGUUAAUGGUUAAUGGUUCUGAACAGAUUCUAUUGAGAAACUCAGUAUAAAUAUAGUUGUCAUCCUGCGCCGGCUCUUGAAGGACGAUCAAAUAGAGGUCAACCAGAACCAAGGUAGAUUUCUGGCAGAAUGCAAGGGUUUUUAUUUCUUUGUUUUCCCGGAAAUAUACGUUAACAAAUUUAAUUAACAUCAGCUGCUCACGGAUGACGUUUACCAGAGAGUGAGCAACUCCAUAAGUAUGCUUUCUCUUUUCAAAUUGAUGAUUAUUAGACUCUAGAACUUUUUUUAAUUUUAGAGUUUCUUAUCAUUGGCAGACCGACUGGCGCUACACCGCUGCCAGCGCCAGCCUUUGUCUCAAGAGCAAGGCCCCCUACAGCAGCGGCAUCCACAGGCCCAAUACACCUUCAACGCCUCCCCGAACGGAUCGGUUCUUAGAUUCGUCGACGCUGAGAUUCAUCCAGUGACGCAAACCGGUCACAACCUUGACAAUGCAGUGCUCCUGGAAAGAGUGCGGGAGCCUUGCCGAACCUGGAAGACAUAUUCACAGUCAACAACAACAAUCGCUGAGUCACAUGAGAUCUGACAGGUGUGUGGGGGGAGUGUUAGUGUGUGCCUGAUUCGCUUUGGCAUAUGGCGCACAGGCACGGCGCUUAGACACAGGCACAGACAGACAAGAUAGUUAGGUCGCCUAAAUACUCAACCAAAGGAUAAAGGAUACUUUACGGAGGCCCAACAGCCCUCCUGAAACCAGGAUUGUAACCAGAAACAGGUUCAAUAAAUUUGAAAUAAGACAAUAGUUAAAUAUCGAACAGAUGAAUGAGGUUGAUUAUGGACACUUUUUAUCAUCCAUCUGGCUCAUCUGCUCUAUCCAGGAAUCACAGACGCUGAGGCAGAAAGGAGGUGGCGACAUCUUCAGCAGCUGGCUGGUUUGACAGCCCAGACCCCGGUGUGUUUCACGGACAUGCAGAGGUUUGAAGUGGUCAAGAUUGUAAUCUUUUACAGAACAGAUUUGACACUGAACACCUUUCACACUGCAAAGCAGCUGCCUGGUGAGCCCUCUAAAGAGUAGGCUCGAGAUAUUUGUGCAGUCAUUGCUACAUGGGUUAAGACGGGCUGCUGAAUCAUAAAUAGGAGGGGCAUUGUAACGUGUGCUUUGAUGCCGGCACUAGUGAUGUGUUGUUAAUGAACGAUUCGUUCAAUAUGAACUAAUCUUUUAUAUGACUCUGGAAGAACGAGUCCUCUCAAUGAACAACUCAUUCGGUUCCAUGCAGUACCUUCUCUCGCCACAUGACAGCAGCUGCUGAAGCAGUUAAGGAAAUAGAAAUGAUUUGUUGAGAACUGACUCAAUUAAGCAUUAUUCCUCAAUGAUUUGUUCUUUUGUCACGUGAAACUGUCACGUGCUCUGUAGCGAGCACCAAAUGCUCAAGUUUGUUCCUAAUUCGUUCAUACGGAUCUUCACGGAUCACUCAUUCGUUUGUUCUUUUAUCAUGUGACCGCUACCAAAUGACUGUUGUGCUGUUAAACAACAAUGGCAGUGAAGAUUCAUGACAUAAGUCACGUUAAUGUGGUGCAUAUUUGCUAAGUUUGAAUUGCU